AAACCCAAUGUCAAACCUUUUCAUUUUUCCCUCUUCUUCCUUGUCGCAUGCAUCAUCGUCAUUUUUGUCCCUAUUAUUUUGCCACCAUUUAAGCUCCAUUUGGCCUGCAUUAUUGAAGCUUCCACCACUUGUCUACCUUAGGCUCACUAUCGCACCGAAUUCACAAGUUCCAUUGUGCACCACCUCCACUGGCCAUCCCUCGACACAAACCCUAUGCUCCUACCUACCAUCACUAUUUCCAUCUUCGGUGAACUUCAACCACCAAUGGUGUUCAACGCAACAAGUAAC
rnacentral:lncRNA from 1 species